GUUAAGUGACUAAGCGUAUACGGUGGAUGCCUAGGCAGUUAGAGGCGAUGAAGGACGUGUAAGUCUGCGAUAAGCUGUGGAGAGCCGACAAAAUGCUUUGACCCACAGAUUUCCGAAUGGGGAAACCCACCGCUUCGGCGGUAUCUUAUAGUGAAUACAUAGCUAUAAGAAGCGAACGAGGGGAACUGAAACAUCUAAGUACCCUUAGGAAAAGAAAUCAACAGAGAUUCCCCUAGUAGCGGCGAGCGAACGGGGAGCAGCCGAGUAGUAAUGAAGUAGUGGAAUGUGUUGGAAAGCACAGCGAUACAGGGUGAUAGCCCCGUACACGAAGCGUCAUUAUUGCCAUAUUAAGUAGGUCGGGACACGUGUUAUCUUGACUGAAGAUGGGGGGACCAUCCUCCAAGGCUAAAUACUCCUAACUGACCGAUAGUGAACCAGUACCG
rnacentral:rRNA from 1 species